AUCUAAUAGAAUAGAAUUAAUCUAUUAAUAGAAUCUACUCUGUUAACUAAAAUAGAAACAUUUUUACAUAUAAGUGAAUAAUUAGAAAAAAAUAAGUUCAAUGAGGAGUUUUGCUAUUCAUUAGUCAAUUUCCUUAGGCAAGUCCCUCAAUCUCUCUGAGCUUGCAUUUUCUAAAGCAGAUAUUAAAAUGUUAGAAACAUGUCAGGUAACAAUGAUGGACCUAUUUCUCUGAAAAGCAACAGCUCAGUAUUGGAGAUAGUGUGAUAAGAGAUUUUCUCAAUCAUUUUCAAAAACUGUGUAUUUGGAAGAUUUACAAGAUUCCAAGGUGAAAGAUCCAGCUCAGUCAAGAAAUGAAAGUGUACAGUUAGUUUCCCUCUGGUUCUAGUUUGAUGAAGAGAAAGCUCUGUGGUUACAGGAAGAGGCACUCUCCUUUCCAGAAUGGGGAAAUUAAGAAGGAAACUGAAGCCCUUUCACGAAGGUGGCGCCGAAGGCGAAGAAGGAAGCCCCUGCCCCUCCCAAAGCCGAAGCCAAAGCAAAGGCUUUGAAAGCUAAGAAAGCGGUGCUGAGAGGCGUGCACAGUCACAAAAAAAGAGAAGAUUCUGACGUCACCUACAUUCCGACGACCCAAGACCCUGCGUCUCCAGAGGCAGCCCAAAUAUCCUCGAAAGAGCGCCCCCAGGAAACAAGCUUGAUCACUUUGCCAUCAUCAAGUUCCCCUUAACUACUGAGUCAGCCAUGAAGAAAAUAGAAGACAACAGCACACUUGUGUUCAUGUGGAUGUCAAGGCCAAUAAGCACCAGAUCAAACAGGCUGUGAAGAAGCUCUAUGACAUUGAUGUGGCCAAGGUCAACACCUUGAGCAGGCCUGAUGGAGAGAAGAAAGCAUAUGUUCGACUGGCUCCUGACUAUGAUGCUUUGGAUAUUGCCAACAAAAUUGGGAUCAUGUAAACUGAGUCCAGCCGGCUAUAAAUCUAAACAUAAAUUUUUUCACCAUGAAAUAAAUAAAUAAAUAAAUAAAUAAAUAAAUAAACA
rnacentral:lncRNA from 12 species